rnacentral:rRNA from 1 species
GACGAACGCUGGCGGCGUGCUUAACACAUGCAAGUCGAACGGAAAGGCCCUGCUUGCAGGGUACUCGAGUGGCGAACGGGUGAGUAACACGUGGGUGAUCUGCCCUGCACUUCGGGAUAAGCUUGGGAAACUGGGUCUAAUACCGGAUAGGAGCCAUCUUUAGUGUGGUGGUUGGACAGUUUUUUCGGUGUAGGAUGAGCUCGCGGCCUAUCAGCUUGUUGGUGGGGUAAUGGCCUACCAAGGCGGCGACGGGUAGCCGGCCUGAGAGGGUGUACGGCCACAUUGGGACUGAGAUACGGCCCAGACUCCUACGGGAGGCAGCAGUGGGGAAUAUUGCACAAUGGGCGCAAGCCUGAUGCAGCGACGCCGCGUGGGGGAUGAAGGCCUUCGGGUUGUAAACUCCUUUCGCUAGGGACGAAGCUUUGUUGUGACGGUACCUAGAUAAGAAGCACCGGCUAACUACGUG